rnacentral:lncRNA from 1 species
UUCAUUCACUCCUGCUUCAUUAAAGAGGAUUUUGAAAAGAAAACCGAAACCAAGUCCCCUUUCCAGCCCCACUUUGUUCCAGAAUUGAACAGAAACAGUUUUCUGCUCCAGAUUUUUUUCUGUACACAAACUGGAAUUCAUGCCAGGGAAAAGGUCAACUGGUAAAGUUCCUAGAAUUGGUUGAUCUGAACCCCAUGAUUUUAAACAGUUAAAUCAGAGGACUGUGUCACAGUUAAGGUCAGUGCCAUGCAUUAGAAGACAGUGCCACGAAGCAGAGAUGAGGGGAUCAUCCAUACACUAUUGUUCUUAUUUCCAACAGGCCUGGUUAACUUUGCAGACAAUG